UGGGGAAUAUUGGACAAUGGGCGAAAGCCUGAUCCAGCAAUGCCGCGUGUGUGAAGAAGGCCUUAGGGUUGUAAAGCACUUUCAGUGGGGAGGAAGGAUAAUGUGCUAAUACCAUAUUAUUUUGACGUUACCCACAGAAGAAGCACCGGCUAACUCUGUGCCAGCAGCCGCGGUAAUACAGAGGGUGCAAGCGUUAAUCGGAAUUAUUGGGCGUAAAGGGUGUGUAGGUGGUUAGGUAAGUUAGAUGUGAAAUCCCCGGGCUUAACCUGGGAACUGCGUUUAAAACUGCUUAGCUAGAGUAUUGCAGAGGAUAGUGGAAUUUCCAGUGUAGCGGUGAAAUGCGUAGAUAUUGGAAGGAACACCAGUGGCGAAGGCGACUAUCUGGGCAAAUACUGACACUGAGACACGAAAGCAUGGGGAGCAAACAGG
rnacentral:rRNA from 1 species